AGCGAUCGCUGGCGGCAGGCCUAACACAUGCAAGUCGAACGAUCCUUCGGGAUAGUGGCGGACGGGUGAGUAACACGUGGGAACGUACCUUUAGGUUCGGGAUAACUCAGGGAAACUUGAGCUAAUACCGAAUAAGCCCUUUUGGGGAAAGAUUUAUCGCCUUUAGAGCGGCCCGCGUUAGAUUAGCUAGUUGGUGAGGUAAAGGCUCACCAAGGCUCCGAUCUAUAGCUGGUCUGAGAGGAUUAUCAGCCACACUGGGACUGAGACACGGCCCAGACUCCUACGGGAGGCAGCAGUGGGGAAUCUUGCGCAAUGGGCGAAAGCCUGACGCAGCCAUGCCGCGGGAAUGAUGAAGGUCUUAGGAUUGUAAAAUUCUUUUAGCAGGGACGAUAAUGACGGUACCUGCAGAAAAAGCCCCGGCUAACUUCGUGCCAGCCGCCGCGGUAACAC
rnacentral:rRNA from 1 species